rnacentral:rRNA from 1 species
GUCGAACGCUUCAGCAAUGAAGAGUGGCAGACGGGUGAGUAACGCGUGGGAACCUUCCCAGUGGUACGGAAUAGCCCAGGGAAACUUGGGGUAAUACCGUAUAAGCCCUUAGGGGGAAAGAUUUAUCGCCAUUGGAUGGGCCCGCGUCGGAUUAGCUUGUUGGUGAGGUAAAAGCUCACCAAGGCGACGAUCCGUAGCUGGUCUGAGAGGAUGAUCAGCCACACUGGGACUGAGACACGGCCCAGACUCCUACGGGAGGCAGCAGUGGGGAAUAUUGGACAAUGGGCGCAAGCCUGAUCCAGCCAUGCCGCGUGAGUGACGAAGGCCUUAGGGUUGUAAAGCUCUUUUGGCGGGGACGAUAAUGACGGUACCCGCAGAAUAAGCUCCGGCUAACUUCGUGCCAGCAGCCGCGGUAAUACGAAGGGGGCUAGCGUUGUUCGGAAUUACUGGGCGUAAAGCGUACGUAGGCGGAC